rnacentral:snRNA from 1 species
UGAAAACUUCGAUGAAUA